GGCAGUGCGCUGCUAUACAUGCAAGUCGAGCGGACAGAUGGGAGCUUGCUCCCUGAUGUUAGCGGCGGACGGGUGAGUAACACGUGGGUAACCUGCCUGUAAGACUGGGAUAACUCCGGGAAACCGGGGCUAAUACCGGAUGCUUGUUUGAACCGCAUGGUUCAAACAUAAAAGGUGGCUUCGGCUACCACUUACAGAUGGACCCGCGGCGCAUUAGCUAGUUGGUGAGGUAAUGGCUCACCAAGGCAACGAUGCGUAGCCGACCUGAGAGGGUGAUCGGCCACACUGGGACUGAGACACGGCCCAGACUCCUACGGGAGGCAGCAGUAGGGAAUCUUCCGCAAUGGACGAAAGUCUGACGGAGCAACGCCGCGUGAGUGAUGAAGGUUUUCGGAUCGUAAAGCUCUGUUGUUAGGGAAGAACAAGUACCGUUCGAAUAGGGCGGUACCUUGACGGUACCUAACCAGAAAGCCACGGCUAACUACAUGCCAGCCGGGCGGGGUAAUACGUAGGUGGCAAGCGUUGUCCGGAAUUAUUGGGAUGUAAAGGGCUCGCAGGCUGCUCAUUAAGUCUGAGGCGAAACCCCCUGGCUCACCCGGGGAGGGUCAUUGGAAACUGCGGUACUCGUUGCACAUAAGGAGAGUGUUAUUUCCCAUCUGCAAAGUAGA
rnacentral:rRNA from 1 species